GCAUUAUACGAUUUUAAUUAUUUGCAGUUGUAUGCUUUAUGUGAUUUCAAUUAUUUGCAAUUCUAUGCACUACGAUUUUAAGUCAUUGCAAUGUGGUUUUAUUCUGUGCAAUAUAAUCUGAAAUAUGUACUCGGACAAUUGCAGUUGUCCAAUUGGGGAGUAUAGUCGACCUUUGGCUGUAAGAUGUGUAUGUAAACAUACUGACUGUACAGUGAAUGCAACUGUGUUGUGAGCGUUUCACCUGGUAGCCUGGAAGGUAGUUUGCUCCAACGCAACUGUGUUGGGAGCGUUUCACCUGGUAGCUAACCUGUCUUAACAAUCUUUCUAAUCUUUCUUUCAAAUGCCCUAAAUUGAAUCACAUAAAAUGCCUAAAGUAACUUGUCUAACAAAACAAAAACCAACCUAAUACCCAAACUUAACCAUCUAACUAAAGAUCUCAAAUGCCUAAACUCUCUUACUCUAAAUGAGUACCUAAACAUCUCAAAGGCCUAAACUCGCUUACCUCAACCUAACCUAAUACCCAGACUUAACCAUCUAACUGAAGAGCUCAAACGCCUAAACUCUUACCAUAACAUAGUACCUAAACUGAACCAUCUAACUAAACAUCUCAAAGGCCUAAACUCGCUUACCUCAACCUAACCUAAUCACAAACUUGACCCUCUCUAAUACCUAAACUCUUUCCUAAUACCUAAACAAUCUUUAAUACAAUCACUAAUGCCUAAACUUAACCAAACACCAAUAAUAAAAGUUAACCAUCCUUAAUCUUAAACUCAAACCAGACUUGUCCCUGGGUCGCUCCACUUUGUUUCUUUAAAGGCAUCUCUUUUCCCCGCAUCUGUGUUUUAUUCCUUGAGGACUUCAAG
ensembl:lncRNA